rnacentral:snRNA from 1 species
UUUCAAAAGACAAUUAGAUUGGAGGGAUACAAGAAACGAUUAGCAUGGUCCCUGCGCAAGGAUGACACGCAAAUUCGUGAAGCGUUCCAUAUUUAA